UACGUAGGAGGCAAGCGUUGUCCGGAAUCACUGGGCGUAAAGGGCGCGUAGGCGGCAAUUCAAGUCAUCUGUGAAAUCUCCGGGCUUAACUCGGAACGGUCAGAUGAUACUGCUUUGCUAGAGUGCGGAAGGGGCAAUCGGAAUUCUUGGUGUAGCGGUGAAAUGCGUAGAUAUCAAGAGGAACACCUGAGGUGAAGACGGGUUGCUGGGCCGACACUGACGCUGAGUGCGCGAAAGCCAGGGGAGCAAACGGG
rnacentral:rRNA from 1 species